rnacentral:lncRNA from 1 species
CGCCAUCAUCAACAGUUGCUUCAUUCCUUGGAUUCCCCCAUGGUGGCUUCACUGAUCAAAUCAAAUUUCUGGUGAAGCAAAAGAGAGAAAUACUGACCCAUAUCAAAAGUUACUCACUCACUCAGCAAUAGCAGCUAAAAUGUAACAGCUACUAAGUCACUCAGCAGUAGCAGAAUAUAUAUCAAUUCCCAUACACACCAAUGCAUGAAAAAUCACCGCUUUACUUGGACUGCUCCAUUCUGCCUUCACUGAUCAAAUCACUUUUCUGGUAAGGCAAAUGACAGGAUUGCCAAAGAUAACAAAAUAUUUAAGUAAUUGGAACAAGUAUGAAAAAAACAGGCCCAGAAUAAGGGUAGCAGCUACUAUUAUAUCAGUUCUAAGACACGCCAUAGCCUACGAAAUAUAGUUUCAUGAUUAUCAAGACAAGCAAUAUAGUGCAAAUCCAACAGGAAAAAAAUGAAGCCCAUUACAAAUCAUAAUCCAGCAUUUUCCAAAAUAUACCAAGGGACCAGAUACAUUAAGAGAACACAAGCUAAUAAUGGAAAAAGGUGAUUAUUAGGUACACAAAUGCACGUAAACAAUGACUAGGAUUUAAAGGACAAACUCUGCUCUUCGCCUUGGAAAAAUUGCAUGCUGCAACAUAAGCACAAAUCAAUCUUCCAUGUGAAUAGUUUGUGUAGGAAAAAAAUAUCGCAAACUCCCAAAGCGAACCCUCUUAAUAUAAAAUAACAACAUUACACUCCAGUCUUUCAUAUAGUCUUCAAGAUCAAGAUACCCUGAGAAUGAUUGUUUCCCUGUUGCACAAGCUUUUCUGCAACAACAGAAAUAACAAGUUAUCUUAUCACACAAACUCUAAGUAUCAGGGAAAAUGACUAUAACUGAUUCUACAAUCAAGGCUGAGGACAACACCAGUGAAAAAGGUCAUAUCAUACUCCAAUUUGUGCGUACAUCCUAUAACGAUCAAGAAGCGGGUCAAUGAAAUGAGAGAUGAUCACCAGGUUACUAGAUCAAUAAGAAUGAGUGAUAUUCUUGAACCAAGAGAUAUCAGCUACAAAGCCACUUAACAAAAUAGCCUCCAUAUCAUAUGCUUUCGCACCUAAAGAACUGGCACUGCAUGAAGAUGAACACGAGCUAGAAAAUAGCUUCAACCCUAUGAAAUAAAAAAAAGGAUCAUCAAAGAUAACCAAAUCCAGAAUCUACUUACCUCCAUAGCCUAUAGUAUACAAAAACCAUCAAUAAUCCCAUUAUCUAUUUUACUAUAUAACACCAACUCCCUUAAUAUCUCAAUGCAUGAGGUGUGUCAGACCAUCAAUGUUUCCCCACCCAUGUUCCAUGUUUGCGUUUUCCCUUCAGUGCGGCUGUUACCAACAAGAUCAAAAAGUCCGAGUCCUUCCUCAUCAAAAAAUAAUGUGCAUCCCAUAUGCCGCAUCCUUGAUAAACAAGCAAUCAAGAAAGCAGGUCAGUUUCAUCAGGUUAUUUCCAGUCUAGUCUAGAAUCAACACCAAACGAAGCUUCAUCUUAACAACUACGUACACCGUAACUAAUGGGUAGCCCUUACCGUCUUUCUACAAUCUCCGAUUGGAAAUCCCUCAUUACAUUAGAACUGCACCUCAACAGCGAAAGACUUAUGUCNNNNNNNNNNNNNNNNNNNNNNNNNNNNNNNNNNNNNNNNNNNNNNNN